AUUUUCAAAAUUGUAUUAAUAUUAAUAAAUAUUAAAACUAUGAUACAAUACAAUGAGAAUUAUAUAUACAAUAUUGGAAAGUGUAACGGUUUCGUGGUAGGAUCAUACGCCAGUCACGCCACCAUUAUCACUUUGUAAUGGUUUCAAGUGUGUUCAGUUGCAGGACGUGCUUAUCGCAUCGCUUAUCCGACGCCCGAUUCGGAAAGGUUAGUGCUCGUAGUAUCUCGCUUGGCUGUAAACAUUCUUCAUGGGACAGACACAUUGUGUGUUUUUCAGGAGGCGAGUUUUUAUGAUGCUGGAAUCAGUAUACGAUGUUUUGAAUGUGGAGACAUUCGGACACAACACAAACAGGUUGCAGAAAGAGCGGCAAGAAGCUUCGGUUGAGGCCGCUCCAGAUGACGCUGUUCCUGCUGAGAAUCCUGUAAGAAGUAUUGCCUGAGAAGGGCAUCUGUGCUGGAGUGUGGCUACACGUCUGGCUGGCACAGCAUUGGUGGGCUCUUCACAGUAGGUGGGACAAUUCCGCCCACACGACCAAGGCAGCAUAAAUACUGGAGGUAAAUCACAGCUCCCUUACUCUUCUUUGAGAUGGCACCUCGAGUCUGGAUUGUUAGCGUUCCAUCAUCCGUAGCCUGCAUGAGGAGGCAGACUCUGGGAGCAGCUGAUUCCAGUGCUGCGCUCUGUCAGGGCCAGAGGUCCUGCUCCUGACCUCCUGAUCAUUCACUUUGGUGGAAACAGUCUGUGUUAGGAGGGCAGUAACCACAUGGAUUUCCUUCGGGAAAUGAAAACUUACUUGGCUGUAAGACUUACCUGGCUUUUCCCAGAACCAGGCUCCUGUUCUCAGACAUUCUGCCCCAUCUGAAUUGGAAAGGUCAAAUUGGCAGGACAGACUAUGGCAUCGAGAAGAGCAGGCGGUGGCUUAAAGGGGCAAUGUCUUGUUUCUUGGCAAAGAGACAGAUGCAUCGGCUUGCCCCUUCUGAUCAGAGACGGAGUCCUCCUGAGCCCAGGGGGAAAUGAGCAUUUGCUGAGCAACAUCUGAGAAGCUCUGUAGGUGGAACUCCGUUGAAGCCACCAAAUGUCCUUUUGAGGGCAGCAACAACGGCUCUUUUAAGAGCCACCCACUCAUUCAAAUAAAGAACAUUUUUCCAA